AUUGAACGCUGGCGGCAGGCCUAACACAUGCAAGUCGAGCGGAUGAAGGGAGCUUGCUCCUGGAUUCAGCGGCGGACGGGUGAGUAAUGCCUAGGAAUCUGCCUGGUCGUGGGGGAUAACGUCCGGAAACGGGCGCUAAUACCGCAUACGUCCUGAGGGAGAAAGUGGGGGAUCUUCGGACCUCACGCUAUCAGAUGAGCCUAGGUCGGAUUAGCUAGUUGGUGGGGUAAAGGCCUACCAAGGCGACGAUCCGUAACUGGUCUGAGAGGAUGAUCUGUCACACUGGAACUGAGACACGGUCCAGACUCCUACGGGAGGCAGCAGUGGGGAAUAUUGGACAAUGGGCGAAAGCCUGAUCCAGCCAUGCCGCGUGUGUGAAGAAGGUCUUCGGAUUGUAAAGCACUUUAAGUUGGGAGGAAGGGCAGUAAGUUAAUACCUUGCUGUUUUGACGUUACCAACAGAAUAAGCACCGGCUAACUUCGUG
rnacentral:rRNA from 1 species